rnacentral:lncRNA from 1 species
GAUAAUGGAGGACAAUUAUAGCGUCACUAGAGCCUGGGGCGGAGAGGUAGGGGCUGUCUGUGCAGGUUUGCAGUGCAGCUGGGCCAAACAUCGCUUACAGUUUAAGCUGUAGGCUGUUAUAAAGUAAAAGCUGCGGAGGUACAGUUUCGGCCACUGUGUGCAGGAAGAUGAGAAGUCAAGGUACGGGAUUUGAUCACUCUAGUUUUUCUUUUACAACUUAAUAAUUCUGUAGAUCCCUGUGUAUUUAUUCCAAUCCUGUAUGUUUACGUAGGAUUUUAUGUUGCACUGAUCUUCUAUAUGCACUGAUCUACGGCCGCUAUCUCCUGUUUAUUAUCUACUUCACAUAGGUUAUAUAUAUGAUCUUGUUUCCACUUGUUGGUGCUUGUAUAGGUAUUUUGAUUGGACCUUUGUGUCAUAUUUAGUCUGCCUAUUUGGCAGUUGGUACUUGCUAUUCGCUAAUAUAGGAAGGUAAUCAGAUAAUCAUAAAAUUUGAAGUCAUACAAAAUGAUCAGAAAUCAGAAGCUGCCAUGUUGUUGUUGUUACAAGCUAGCCUAUGCUUGGAGAGACAGGCCUGCAAAGUGGCAUUAACACUGCAAGAUUUAGUGGUGGUUUGGAAAAUCUAAGCGUGUUCAGGACAGAUUGUACCAUGGUUGGCUUGUGUCUUAAGUAUGAAAAUCAGCGAUAAUGACCAAACAUUCAUAAGAUGAGACUUUUCAAACUGGAUAAAUCGCAUUCAAAUGCUCCGAUCUGUAAAUUGUGAAUUUUAAUUUUAAUAUAUUUAUUAAAGCCAGCACUGAUUCACCCAAAGAAAGCGAUGUUUGUGAAGACUUUAAACUGUGGACCGCAAACGAACGUGGCAACCUCGUCCUACUGUGUGUGUCCUCGUUGUACUAGAGUCUAGAUGAAUCUUGUACCUCUUCUGCACACAUCAUAUCAAUAAAAGUUGAUUUUGCUCGAAUCAAGCUUAUAUGUCAGCAAGACCAUUUAGCUCAGGAGCUGACACCACAUAAAUUUAUUCUGCGUAAAUCAACCUGACUGUAGAUUGUCCUGCUGGUAUUUGCAUUGUUCAAUAGACUCUAAGGUUAACUUAACUACUCCCUCUUGCAAGUAAUAGGAAAGUUGGUCCCAUGGGCCCAUGCAAGUCAAGGUAGUUUGUGAGUUUAUUUGAGACAUCACGUCCUCCAAGUAGUUGUUUCUUUGAUUCUGGAACAGUGCAUGGUCCAGCUAACCAGCUAGCAGACCCUCUCGUGAAUUACUGCUGAUCUGGUCGAGUGCCAGAACGCAGCAAUGAACCCAUACCAUAGAAUCACGGAGGGGAGGGGUCGGACAUUCGUGUAGGUCCUGCGAGAAAUUAUGGUGUGGCGCACCAGACUUGACUUUGACAACUUGUCUGUGCAGCAGUAGCAAUUGGCGCAUGUAGGUUCCGCGGGGCACUCAGCGAGAUUCAAUCUUCACGUGACAUUUAGGCCGACCUUUUAUUAUGGAUCGCUGGUGAGUGUCCUUCCCAUGCCCCUCUUGCCGGUGGUCCUAGCUUGUUGCGGAUAGCCGUUCAGUUCCAUGUCAAAACGGUCGUCUUCUGAAGGCUGCCUCUUCUGAAUGCAGGGGGGAAGAAUCGUAAAAGUUUCAGGUGUCAACAAAUUGUGUCGCUGCGGAAAAGAGGGAUCAGACCAAAGCAGUGGCCUUGGUAGGGCAAGGUAAUGCUGGUUUUCCUUUGGUUAACAGUGCCUCAUGUUUCACUGUCAGUUACAUCACUUAUCCUGCUAGCUCCAUUGUUUUCAAGAUCUGUCUGGUCAGUCGGCCGGCCACGCUGAUCUUACAAGCUACUAGAUGCAGCAUAAUGCUUUGUUCUCUUAUCUUUUGCUUUACCGACUACGAUGGGAAAAAGAGCUAUCACAACAUGACAUUGCAUCUAUUCUCUUCGGGAAAGAGAUUGCCUAGGUGUCAAAGGAUGUGUGGUUAUUCUGUUGCACAAAAAACAUACUGUACCCGGAUGACUCUGAAUUCAUCUAACGGCUCUCGACCAGUAGAUUGGUCCCGCAUCGCCUUCAAUGGUCUAUCUAAAUGCUGGCUGGCCUGCAAGUGCCAUCUCAGUCACAUCUGCAACACCUUUGCAGUCACAGGUUACACAACACGCAAGUGGGCGAACCCACCAGUGCGAGGAAGCUAUAUGUCUAUUUCCGGAGUAUAAAUCUAUUCCAGAUACAAAAAAUUGUGAAGGAUAGACACAACUAGCUUCUGCACUGCCUCAGAUGUUCCUGGUACUGAACACGAGAUGCAUGCAUCACUGUUUCACAACAGUGCUCGCUACAUAGAUUCUAAUUAAAUGGGACUGUGAUUUGUUUUGCUACAGGAUAGAUGCAUCAAGACAUGCAGUCUCGUCUGAUAUAAGCUUGACUUGUCACGUCAAGCUUGACUUGUCACGUCCUUCCCGCUUUCCUAAUUGUUUAACUCUUGCUACUGAUGGUGUUGUUAUCCGUGCGUACAUAUUACAGUAACUGUUGCAUGAUGAGUUCUAGCGAGUAGGCUCUCCAUUUGGCAUUGUAGCAGAGUUGAUAGAUAGUUACAGAAUUUCCUUCACACCUUGUGAGGUUUUUUUAGAUUAAAUGGUUAUUAAUGUAUGGUCGCAUUGUCACAACUGUUCUGGAACGCACCAUAGCAGCGCUGGUUGGUGCAAGCUGUUGAUACCUGUAGUAGCUGGAACCACAAAUAAAAUAAUUCUUUGUGGUGACGACACACUAAAUAGUUUUUUUUACCUUUUUAUGUGCAGUGUGUAAUUUUAGAGGAAAAAUCAAAUUUGCGUGCAAAUUGAUCAAAAUUCUAGCAAUGACUUUAAUUUUCACUUUUUUUCAGUUCUACCUCGAAGUUGAUGGACUGUGAAUUCCAUAGUAUUUUCUCCGUCCGUUUACUAUUAUAAGAUGUGUUCUAACUUAUUCUCGAAUCAGACGUAUAUAGACGCAUUUUGGUGUGUUUGUCCGUAUGCAGUCCAUAUUGACCGGAACAUCUUAUAAUAUUGAACGGAGGGAGUAUUAUUUAAGCUUUAUUUGCUUGCUAAUACAUACAUAAAUUUCCAUCUAAAUUUAUACAAUAAUUCUGAUUACUUCUUUUGAUACAAUUAGAUGUAAUAUUCACAUAGGUAUUAUCCUCGAGGACACUAAGGUUCAUGCCCAAGCAUCCAUAUUUUAAUGGUUUAGUCGGGAUAUUUUCUGAGUUGACAUUUGCAUCUCCCAGGUAUGUAAAUAAUUGACUUUUACUCCGUAUUAUCAACAAUUACUCAUACAAUAUGCUGUUCUGAAAAUUCUGCAUGAAAUCUAUGUGGUAAAUAAGAUAAAAAUAAUAUUUUGGAAAUAAUUACCUUGUAUGCUUAAUUAGAUGUUUAGUUCAGUGUCUACUUUAAAAUCGCAUAAACUGAAUUUCGUUUUGAACAAUCAGGGGAGGCUAGUUUUCCUCUUAUUUUUAGAACAACGGGGCUCCAUACUGCAUCAUCAUGUUAUCUGUCGAAAAAUAUAGUGUAGUUGGGACUAAGCGAAAGCUCCAAGUUAGCAAAAAGUAAAUACAAGAACCAAAAGACCUCGUAUGAAGGAAAAUAAUCAAGGCGUACUAGUUAUCUAAAAUUUACAAUCAAGAUGCAGUACAGAUGAGAUGAGAUCGAACUCGGAUUUGUCAUCUCAGAUGCAGCUACAUGCGAGCUGUCACUCUUGUACUUGUUUGCUUAUGUGUAGAUAAGAUAUACGAUCCUAGUACCUGGCAUCUGUCAGUGUCUAGCUACUACUGUUCAUAACGAAAUGUCAUAGUACAUCCAGAACCCAAGCCACAGAAAAAUUGACACGUGCAUGUACAUCCAAAUAAACAAUCUAAAUCAUGGCUGAUUCUGAUGUAAUCUUUUCAAAGUUUGCUCCGAGGUCUAUAGUGUACAUGAGCGACAUGUUCUUUUCGAUGCAUAUGGGAGAAGAUUCCUUGAAAGUAUUCUAGUAAUUAACAAGAGAGAAUCUCUAUACCUUGCAGCUAGUAUAUUCAGAUGCGGUGUGAUCUUGUUGAUUGUCGUACUCCGCACUUGGUAGUACUCAAAUUAUUCAGGUUUAGUAGUGUUAUAUGGAAGCUUAUGAAAUUUAGGGCCUGUUUGGUUCAUAUAGUAAGUAUGGCAUUUUUUGUCAUUUUUUGUCAAUAUAUUACCUAAACCUAAUCCAUUCUUUCGGGCAAGCCAGUUCAGUUCCUUUCUGGUAGCAAGAGAUCGGUAAAGAUCAAAUUUGUAUAUAAAGUGCUUCUCUGAUUGCUCAAGGCAUCUCUUUUCAACCGAGGAACAAUCCAAUCUCAUUUCGUUCCUCUAGGCUGUAUAUUCAUACGCAUUUCUAACUAUUUUUUAAACGAUCAAAAUUUGGUGCCACACUUUAGGAACGUAAGAUAUACUAGUAUAUGUAAUGNNNNNNNNNNNNNNNNNNNNNNNNNNNNNNNNNNNNNNNNNNNNNNNNNNNNNNNNNNNNNNNNNNNNNNNNNNNNNNNNNNNNNNNNNNNNNNNNNNNNNNNNNNNNNNNNNNNNNNNNNNNNNNNNNNNNNNNNNNNNNNNNNNNNNNNNNNNNNNNNAAGGCAAGAUUGCAAGAACACCUAUGGUGAGUUCAUGAGGUUUACCGGGCAAUCUAAUCCAUGAAGAUUUCGGACUCUGUUCAUUUAACAUCCGAUCAUCAAGCUAUCGCAUGAACCUCUCCUGCCACUGCUGGGUAUGCCGAGUAGAAGAUCUCAUAAUGCCCUCCCUGCUCCGAUCAACUAUAGUCGUUGGCCAUGGCUGCCUUGGUAGUAGGGAUCAGGGAAGGCAUGACUCCAGUGCAUGAGGGAACAGUGGCCCAACAUGGAAGGGGGCUGGAGUUCCUGGAACCAUGAGCUCCGGCGCACCACGUGGGAGAUUAUAAAGGAAGCCAUGUUUUGUUGGAGCUUUAGGGGAAGACAUAUAGGGAAAGUUUCGAGUAAUGAUUCUGUGAAGAUAAUCGGAAUGAGGAGAUUGCCAUUGUAGUGGGUUGUGAUAGAUCUAUAAAUGUGUAGUUUCUGGUGUUUCCCCCCUCUAUAAGCGGUAUUAGGAAAGAAUUGCAAGAAAAUGAUUUUCUUUUGAAGUAAAACAACGAAAUAUAGCACAACCCACUACAAUGGCAACCCACUACAAUGACCCGACCAAUAGUUGACGAAAAAGAGAUAUGUUGUAUUUUAACCUACACAAAACUCAUAGCGUGGAACCAGAGUCAAUUUAUACCCUUUUUUUAUCUCAUAGAACAUAUUGAGUUACAACUCAUUUAGCUAUAAUAAGAAUACACUGCACCAUUUCCAUAUAAGAAAUAAAAUUUGUCCUAAGUCCACCUUUUGUAAAGUUUGACCAAAUCUAUCUAUUUUUUACAACAUUAUGGUAUCGAAUAUUCACUUAUGUUUUUACUCUGCAAAUUAGGCCCUGUGGGGACAAGCGCGUAACCAAUAAUUACCUAUUAGUAUGUAAUUUAUGAGACAUAAAACUGGCAUCAUUAGAUUCAUACUCGAAGAUAUCUUUGUGAUUAUGAUUUUGUAUCACAAAAGUUACAUAUUAAUAAUGUAAUUGUUGGUCAAAGGUUUGUCCUAAUGAGACCUAAUAAUAUUCAGAGUAAAAAUACUGAGAGAUUAAUGCAAUAUGAAGAACAUAUUUCAUGCCUUAAUAUAUGGCGUUAUAUUUUGGGAUGGAGAGAGUACAAGCUGCAAGAAGAGUUGUAUAUCAGCAGAUAUCAAUUGUUCAUAUGGCAUGGCUUAAGAUAUAAUCCAUCAGGCUGCCAUAAGCUGCAGAAGUCACGCUGGUUUCUAUAAGAGGGUAUUUAGACUAUCAAUUGUUCAUAUGGCAUGGCUUAAGAUAUAAUCCAUCAGGCUGCCAUAAGCUGCAGAAGUCACGCUGGUUUCUAUAAGAGGGUAUUUAGACUAAAUAUUCCCAUUUCUUUGUGAGCAAUUAACUUCUUUAAAUCAACUUGUUGUGCUCCGAAACAUCCAGACAGACGUUACUGUUCGUAGGCAGGGAGGUCGUUGACAAUAACCCAUUCUCAAGGGUAUGAUUGUAAGUUAUAAAUUACCGAGACAUUGCUGUACUGCGGCCACUCUACCCGCCAUCGCGCACUGCCCAGGACGAGGCUCCAAGCCCUCUGGGAGGCCGGACAGCAAGGCCCCACACACCUGUGACCACUCACACCUAGCCACGUAAAGGGUUGGGGCUCGUGGGCCCACCGUUAGCACGGCCAAUCAAGGCUCGACAACGCCGUUCCUAAUCUCUCCGACACGGCCUGCUGUUUACGAUUACCACUGCCGAGGGUCACCUCGAGAACGAGACGCAGAGAAAAUAGUUCGUUUCUAUAUAUUUCUAGGUGAUUUUUCUUGCCCUCACACUAGUUCCUUUUCUUUUUACUUUUCCCGGCCGGAUUCUUUACUGGAAAGAGGGAAGACCAGGGCGUAGGCAUGCCACCUUUCGCGGCCGUGGGGGGUUGAAAAUGGCUGCUCCUAUUGGAUGAUGGGAAAAGGCACUACAAGAUAACGUCUUGGGGCCUACCGCCGGCGACCACAUCGCAUCGGGGCAUGCCUUGGGGUACCACACGCACUGAUGACUGCCAG